AAAGUAGGAGUCCAAAGGGGGACAUGGUUGGUGUGGUUGGUAUGUCUUUUGGAUGUUCUUAGUUCUUUGGCGAUGAGAGUUUGUUCUCUGACACUAAGAGAACGUUUUUUUUUUGUUCUCGUUCUGUUCUAGGGCGAAAGCAACGUGUCAUUGUGGUUAAAAAAGAUGAAUCAGUAUACAUGUGAUAAAACUGUCAAAGCCGGAAUGUUGAAAGGACCCACUGUCCAGCAAGGAGGUUGCAGAAUCAGCAACUGACAUACUGACUGAUGAAACAUGAUGGUGCGUGCAGCAAGAGAGGGUUUGACUGCAGAUCCCGACCACCUGCUUCUGUAAAUUUGUACUAACCACAGUCGAAAACAAGGAGAAGCGUUUGAAUACCGGCGGCCUUCUAUCAGCUAGACAAGUCCCUGAAGCUAUAAAUCAAUAAACUUAUGUGUAUUGAUGACUGUCACGCUAACUUUGACGUAUUCUGCUUUGGAGGUAUAAAGCAAUGAAAUGUG
rnacentral:lncRNA from 1 species